CAUAUAAGGUGUGCCCUGCCCGGUGAUAUUUUUUAACGGCCGCAGUACUCUGACUGUGCUAAGGUAGCAUAAUAAUUUGUCUUUUAAUUAGAGACUGGAAUGAAUGGGUGAUUAAUUGAAGUCUGUCUUUUUCAAUGUAUAUUUUAAGUUACUAAAAAGGUGAAAAUACCUUUAUAAUUAAUAUUAGACGAGAAGACCCUUAGAGUUUAUAAGUUAUGUUUUGUUGGGGCGACAAGAAAGCAGAAAACCUUUCUUAUUUUUAUAUAAUAUAAAUCAUUUUAAAAAGUGAAAAAUAAACUACCUAAGGGAUAACAGCAUAAUUUUUUUUAAAGAUUAUGACCUCGAUGUUGGAUUAAGGACUUAUAUUGCUAACAGCUUAAUAAGAUUGUUCUGUUCGAAC
rnacentral:rRNA from 1 species